CGGCCCGGCCCGGCCCGGCUCUCGCCCUCAGGUCUCGGCGGUGCCUUUUCAAUCACCGAUCACCGAUUUAAAAGUGUUGCUGUUCCUUUACCUGUUUACCGUGCAUCCCUCAAAUGCGGUACCAUCUUCCUCGGCGGGGACUACAACCACCUGUAGUCGCAGGUCUCCCAAACGAGCCCACGUCCCCUUCAGAGCCCCUGAUAAGGUUUAUUUCUUAGCUUCUCCAAACACUGAAGGCAGAGAGAAGGGGAUUUCCGAAGAGGCAGCUGAGCACAGACCCACCCUCAGCUCCGCUGGUGUCAGGUGGAGCCCUUGGCCUCCCUGUCCCUGAGCAGCCCGGCCCAGCCUCAGCCCUGCUGUGCUGUUGGCGAGGAAGGGCUGUGCGAGAGGAGGAAUCCCUGCCAGCAGCACUCAGUCCUUCGUUUGCCGUGUGCUUUUCAGCCCCUUAGUGCAGCCCUUGCUGCCGCUGCUCCCGGCCCUGAUCCCCAGCAGAGCAGUGCCCUCAGCCAUCCCAGACAGGGCUGGCACAUUGAAGUUUCUGCAUGGACAUGGGACACGAGUUACUGCAUCACAUCUAAAAUGCCACCAGACAUCCGUGUUCAGGAAAAUGGACUCAGAGGAAGCUGAAAGAGGCAGACCCUCGUGGGGCAGCAGUGCAGAGAUGCAAAGAGAGCCUGUGCUGCCUGGGUGAAGUUACACACGGGCCAGGCAGGCACAGCUUGUUCAGAUCCAGAAGCUGCAGAGGCACUCUGAGGAUUCUUGAUGUGCUGCUGAAGUGGGAUGCUUCAUGGUGAGGAAGAUUUAGAAAUGCUGACAUCUGAUAAAAGAACUAGUUCAGAUUCUAUGAUUGUGAAAUGUAUAAAUACCUAAAUCUGAUACCAUGGUAACUUGGAAGAAGAGUUCUUACAACUGGUUAUCCAGAUGUCUACAAAUAUGAAAAACAAGCUGCUCCAGAUAC